CAAAACUCACCUGGAUGGAAUGUGACACUCCCUUGUUCAUAGUUAUAUAACUUUUGAUGAAUACAAUUGACAUUAUAGCGGAUUUAAACAGUAUCAAGUAUUGGUUAUUUUGGGAUUGUACAAAUUUUUUAAGAGGUUUCCCAAUAUCAGAAAUAUUUCAGGAACAAUCCAUAAACAAAAUGGGGAGUGGUAUACAAGUAACUACUGGUUUGUUGGUGCUGGCUGUAUUCACACGAGGACUUUUGGCAGAAUUUGAUGACAAUUAUUAUUCAAUAGAAGUUAACCAUGAAACCAUCCCUUGUAAAAUGUGCCCGCCUGGCAGUUACUGGAUUCAACAGUGUAGUCAAGAUGGUGGCCAGGCAAAAUGUAAGGACUGUCCUGAUGGACGCUUUACAGAGCACUACAGUCGAGGGAUUUAUUGCGAAAGGUGUUCUGAAUGUAAAGGAAAUUAUAAAGAAUCACGUGAAGUUGUGGUAAAGGAGUGUACGCGGUUUAAUGACACGAAAUGUGAGUGUAAACCAGGGUACUGGAGAGAAGGACAGGUCGGGGAUUGCCGAGAAGUGUCGCCGUGUGAGCCCGGAUAUGGUGUGAAAAAAAUAGCGAACAGUCACAAUGAUACAGCAUGCGAGAAAUGUGUUAACGGGAAGACCAUCUCAAACACCAGCUCCGAGGUGACGCCAUGCCAGAACUGCUCAGUUUGCCCCGAGGGAUGGGUUAAGAAAAGCUCAUGUAACAAAUAUGAGGAUACUGUCUGUGUCAAAAAAGAUGAAGUAGAGGAUAACAAGGUUGGUCUUAUUGUUGGAGUGUUCUGUGGCGUACUGACUGUACUCAUUCUUGUGGGUAUCAUCCUUUUCUACAGUUGUCCAGAAAAGACCGCUCAAGUUCUUCAAAAGUUGCGUACUAGCUGUAGAAAAAGGCAACGUCAUGAAAAACACGAUGACGUGGAACAAGCCACCCCACUACAGGAAGGCAAUGCUAUUGAGAUGCUUCCAGUAAAUGGAGGAGACAACAGUUAGUACCCCCCUUACGUUAGAAUACUUACUGCACGAACAGGUGUCAACUUGCCACACUCAUAUGCGAGCUCGAGAAUCUCAUUGGCAGAAGCAUAAGCUUGAAGACUACGAAACAUAUACCAUGUGUAUCAACAGGGGUUGAACUGACUAUGUACAGUAGAACUUUGUAAGAUUGGCAUGUACAGUAAAACACUGUAAGAAUGGCAUGUACGGUAAAACACGGCUAGAAUGGCAUGUAUGGUAAAACACGGCUAGAAUGGCAUGUACGGUAGUACCCGGUUAGAACGGCAUGUACGGUAGGGCACGUCUAGAAUGGCAUGUACGGUAGCCAAUGACUGAUUUAUGAGAGUAUUAGCGAGUAUACAUCUUUGAGGCUGUUACAUGUACAUGUGUUUUUAAUUCUGUACUUUAUUGUUACUGUUCAACCCCUUUGUAUUGUUUUUGUUUUGUUUAUUAGUCUUGUUUCAUGUGCAUGUUGACAUACAUUAACAUCAACUUUUUUUUUCAUAAAUUUAUGACAUUAGUUUGUAUUUAUUUAGAAUAUUUAUAUUUAUUCCAUGUAGAAGUUUUCGAAUAAACACAAUAUUUUUAAAAUUUAAGAGAGUUCCUGACGAUUUUGUUGAAUGUUCAGGAACAUUUUCAUUUUGCAUAUUAGGGCUGACUUUUCUUAUCUGGUGUCUUUCAUAAAGUUCAAGUACCCUUUAAAAAAAGUCUCUUUAAAAUGUUAACCCGAGUGCUAAAUCAUUUCUCAAUCUUGCAUUAAAUUACAUUUCAACCUUUUUGUGGGAAUAAUUAUGAGUGUCUAGAAAAUGGUCUAUUCAAUGAGUCUAUAUUUAAUUUGACAUUAGAAAAUACGAGCAUAACAGAGGGCAUUUUAAGAACAUUUGGACAUUUUUCAUUAUUACAGGCAUUACUUUUUUAUUACAGGCAUUAUUUUUAACCAGGUUUUCAACGAAAACCAGGUUAUUAGAAUGAGGUUGUCGUUGGGCGGGCGGAUGGGCGGGCGGGCGUCAAACAUUGGUUUCUGUUCAAUAACUUUAGUUAGCAUUGAUAGAUAUUGAUGAAACUUGGUGUGUAGGUAGCUUAUGGGAAGAGCUAGCUUGGGAUUGCUUUUGAGGGGGGUAGGGCUAAGGUCAUGGUCACUGUUACUAAAAAUAGAAAAAUGGUUUCUGCCCAAUAACUUUAGUUAGCAUUGAUAGAUAUUGACGAAACUUGGUGUGUAAGUUGCUUAUGUGAAGAGCUAGCUUGGGAUUGCUUUUGAGUGGGGAGGGCCUAAGGUCAAGGUCACUAUUACUUAAAAUAGAAAAAUGGUCAAGGUCACUGUUACUAAAAAUUUAAAAAUGGUGUCCGCCCAAUAACUUAAGUUAGCAUUGAUAUAUAUUGAUAAAACUUGGUGUGUAGGUAGCUUGUGUACAGAGCUAGCUUGGGAUUGCUUUUGAGGGGGGUGGAGCUAAGGUCGAGGUCACUGUUACCAAAAAUAGAAAAAUGGUUUCUGCCCAAUAACUAAAGUUAGGAUUGAUAUAUAUAUUGACAAAAUUUUGUGUGCAGGUACUUGUAGCUUACGUGAAGAGCAAGCUUUGAAUUUCUUUUGAGGGGGGUGGGGUCAAGGUCAUUGUUACUAAAAAUAGAAAAAUGGUUUCUGCCCAAUAACUUUAGUAAGCAUUGAUAGAUAUUGAUGAAACUUAGAGCGAAGGUAGCUUAUGUGAAGAGCUAGCUUGGGAGGUGGGGUCAAGGUCAUUGUUACUAAAAAUAGAAAAAUGGUUUCUGCCCAAUAACUUUAGUAAGCAUUGAUAGAUAUUGAUGAAACUUAGAGCGAAGGUAGCUUAUGUGAAGAGCUAGCUUGGGAGGUGGGGUCAAGGUCACUGUUCCUAAAAAUAGAAAAAUGUUUUUCUGCCCAACAACUUAGUUAGAAUUGAUGGAUAGUGAUGAAUCUUAGUGUGAAUAUAGCUUAUAUGAAGCUGCAGAUUGAACUUGCUCAUACAACAAAUUAAUUGGCUAUAAUUUCUGAUUGCCCAUAACAAAAACCUGGUUUCGUCGCAUUGAGGCGUUUCUAGUUAUUUUUCAAAUUAUUUUUAUUGAUUUGUUGUUGAAUAAAUAUGUUGUUUAAAGUUU